rnacentral:lncRNA from 1 species
AAGUUUCCCUUCUUUUAUGUCUCAGAUCAUGCUCUAGAAAGGUCCUCUAAGAAAGUUACAUAGAUUCUCAGCAUGCUUCACUCAUGUCAAUUCCACCUUACCUUCAAUGUAAUAUAAAUAGUGAAGUUCAAAGUCCUAGAUAUAGGUCUUUCUUAGACCAUUGUAAUAACCCAAGAUCCUAUCCCCAGAUGUCACACGGUGCUUAUGACCCCAAAGGACCACAAGCUA